UACGAAGGGGGCUAGCGUUGUUCGGAAUCACUGGGCGUAAAGCGCACGCAGGCGGAUCGGUAAGUCGGGGGUGAAAGCCCGGGGCUCAACCUCGGAAUUGCCUUCGAUACUGUCGGUCUCGAGUCCGGGAGAGGUGAGUUGAAUUCCUAGUGUAGAGGUGAAAUUCGUAGAUAUUAGGAAGAGCACCAGUGGCGAAGGCGGGUCACUGGCCCGGUCAUGACGCUCAGGUGCGAAAGCGUGGGGAACAAAUAGG
rnacentral:rRNA from 1 species